UAGUUUCACUCUUGUUGCCCAGCCUGGAGUACAGUGGUGCCAUCUCAGCUCACCGCAACCUCCACCUCCCGGGUUCAAGCGAUUCUCCAGCCUCAGCCUCCGAGUAGCUGGUAUUACAGGCGUGUGCCACCACGCCCAGCUAAUUUUGUAUUUUUAGUAGAGACGGGGUUUCUCCAUGUUGGUCAUGCUGGUCUCGAGCUCCCGACCUCAGGUGAUCCGCCUGCCUUGGCCUCCCAAAGUGCUGGGAUUACAGGCGUGAGCCACCGCACCCGGCCGUUUAUUUUUAAUAAAAUAUAAUGCCAAAUGUUCAGAAUAUUUGGAGACUGAUAAAGUUCAUAUAAGUUGUAAAUAUUUUUACUACCUCUUUCAAUCAUUUCCCAAGAAUUAAAUUCCAAGAGUGAUGAGUUUACACUGUAUGUGAACAGCACAGACGUGUCUGAACUCUCCACGCUGACGACCUUCCAGCACUAAUAAGGCCUUCUCCCCUCCAGUGCCUUUGGUAAUGGGCAUCUCCCUUUCCAAUUCAGCCACUUACAUCGUAUUUAAGAUUAUGAGUAAGUUUUCAUUACCACACACUCUGCCCUUUGUCACAGCCCAGGAACAUGAAGUCGAACAAACAAGUAGAUAUUAGGUAAGAGUUCUCUUAUCUCUUGCCACAAAGAUAAAAGAAAAAAAAUUGAAGAAACAAAUGAAACCUCCUGUCUGAACGUUAAUAAAAUGAUUAAGAACCAAAGGACUUUGAAAUACUAUUGUAAAUACUGACUACUACUAAAUACUACUUGGUACAAGCAGGUAUGCUUUAAGAACUCUAACUGAACCACAGUCUCUAACUGAACCAAAAUCUUAAAUGUUUUGCUUUUACUAAUCUGUAAAAUAGUGGGGAUACCGGCCCUUCUGCUCAUCCAGAGGUCUGGGAGACUGAGUGGCAAAGCUGCCAUGCCAAGUGAAGAGAAUGGCCCCAAUGUUACAUAAAUGUUACUACAUGGUUUAGGCUCCAGAAAUCUCUUCUGCCUUCUAUAUUGUUUGUUUUCAGAGAAUGGGAGAGGCGAUAAUGCAAGGUAGAGGGAUGUGGUGAGCAGAAUAAUGGCCUCCAGAGAUGUCCACGUCUUGCUCCCUGGAACCUGUGAAUAUGUCACCCUACAUGAUGAGAGGAACUGUGCAGAUGUGAUUAAAUGAAGCAUCUGGAGGUGGGAGAUUAUCCCGGAUUAGCUGGCUGUGGCCAAUGUCAUCACAAGGGUAGUUGGAAGAGGGCAGCAGGAGGGCAGCAGAGUCAGGAGGUGGGGUGAUAAAAGCAAGAAGUUGGAGGGAUACGAGGAAGGGAUCAUUAACCAACGAUUGCAAAAGGCCUCUGGAAGCUGGAAAAGGCACAGACACGGAUUCUUCCCUGGAGCUUCUGGGAGCAACCAGCCCUGCUGACACCUUGACUUUAGCCCAGUGAGAAUGACUGCAGACUCUGAGCUCCAGAACAGUAAGAGGAUAAAUGUGGGUUGUUUUGAGCCACUUGAUUUAUGGUUAUUUGUUAUGGCAGCUAUGUAAAACUAAUACAAGUAUGAAGCUGUGUUCUCUAGUUACAAAGACCAAAGGACUGAAAAUCAGAACACUUCGGUUCCAAUUUUGUCUCUGACAUUACUAGCUGUGUGAUUUUAAAUAAGUCACACUGCCUCUCUGGGCCUUGAUUUACCACAUACCAGAGGGCUCCACUAGUUAACUCUUUAGUGCCUUCUAACUCUGAGGGUCUACAGGGGACACAGUGUGAAAAGCACAGAGACACUUAAAUCAAUAUCCUCCUUGUCCUCCUGAUGAUAUUCCCAAUUUUAAUUUAUAUUCUCCUUCGCCUAUUAUACCUCAAGCAAUGAUAAAGCCAGAUAAUAAAUUCCAGACAUUGGUACUGAAGACAUAGAGGCAUAUUAAAUGCAUUUAUAAGUCCUGGGAUCUGUUUGACUAGUAUACAAGAUUUUUUUGGAAAAACAAAACAAAACAGAACAAACAAACAAACAAAAACAAUGGUGCUACCUUAGGUAGGUUUAUUUUAGAGAAAGACCUUAGUUCUAGCCAGACAUAUGGGCCGGCUGUUCCACUGCACCACUGAGUGUUUAUCUUCUCCACUCCUGUGCAAUAAUUUUAAUAAAAGUCCUGCAGCAGCCUUCACCCCAGGUGGCGAGCCAGCCCCACCUGUCUCUCUUCCUGACAGACUGUUGAACAUGGAUGCCUUCCAGAGACAAAAAGUCAUUAUUCUGCCUUCUCAACCUUUCUGUUUUUGCUCCAGGUGGCUGUUGCAAAAUGUUGUAUACUUAGAAACAUGAUGUCAGCUAUUUCUUAUUUUGCCAUCAUUGAGAUGUCAUGUGACUUCAAUUUUCCAACAAAAUAGAUCACUUUUCACACCUGUCCCCAUUCUGUACACACGAGAGAAAAUUGAAUGGAUUAAAGGGAUCCUGCCAAUUUAUGUUUCAUUUCUUCUGAAUAAACAAGCCCACCCAGGCACCUGGCACUGGAAGUGAGCUGAAGACAACCAGGCAAUGCUUUGCCCUUCACCAGUUCCAUGCAAAUGAUUUUUUAUGAAGCUGAGCUGUUCAUUGCUUUCAAUCUGUCAGAUUUUAUGAGGAUUUUCACCAAAAUCAAAACAGAAUCCAAAAUAUUCCGAGCACACCUUUAAGAACUAGAUUCUAGGUACUUAGCAAAUCUGACAGUAGCUCACUCAUGGUAUUUUGUCCAUUUGAUCAAGGAUUGCUCGUUCCCUUUGUGGAACCACCAAACAAGGAUAAGCAAGUUAGACUGGUAUACUUCUUUCUCCGAGACUUGUACAGCAUCAGGUUUUUUACACUGACCAUCUUGCUCAACUUGCUCAGCCUCUGAAGGCUUAAGUAAUCCAAUGGAGGCCUUCUAGGAUGUGACUUGAAGUUAAGAAGGUGAUAGUCAUUAUUUUAGCAUAUUAAGACACCGGACAUAUGCUAGGAAAAGAUUAACUCUCGCAAUGUGAAAAGGUCUGAAUAAUGAAGUCCUUGUCUCUCUCCCCACUUUCCCUGCAGGAUCUGAAGCACCCACUUCUCCUUCCCCUUUUCCUCCCAGGCCAGCCCCAUCCAGUAGCAAAACUAGAUGAGGAAAAGAAAGGCAAAGAACUCACACUGGAGGUGAGACAGAAGGGAGAACUUUGGGAACAGAUGGCACAAGAGACAUUCGACAAUAUCUUUCUUUGCAGAUAAACAUUAAUCUUCCUGAAAAGGAUUGUAUUUUCUAUUGAUAGAAGUCAUUCCAUUUUUAUAUUUUUUAGUUUCUUCUGUGAAAAAAAGCAGUUGAGUAAACAAAACGACAAUCAUGCCCCCUACCCCUAAAAAAAAAAAAAUCUACACAGUUUUUUAUACAUCUCUCAAUUUUUUGUGGUUCCCUGUCCCUAGAUGGAAAUCAAAUGUUAUCCAUGAAUCAGUCUUGUAAAGGUCAAGGCUCUUGGUUACAAGCAAUGGAGACCAAAUAUCACUAACUUAAUGAAGCAGAAAAGGCAUUUGCCGAAAGGAUAUUGUGUCAUUAACUCAAUCAGCAAAAAGGCCAGAGAAUCCAGGCUGAGAAAAUGGGCAGGACCGGAGUAGAGUGAACAGCAGGGAACCAGGCACAUUUUGUCAGAAAGCCACCUCUGGUGACCACCACUGCUGACAGUAAGAACUUAGUGUCACCACCAUCAGACACCUCCUGUUCUUGCCUCCAGGAUUUUGACACUAGCCACUGCCCUUGCUGGAUUCCACACUUAUUCUCAAACUAGCACCCAGAAGCAUUUCUCACCUGGCUUUGUAUCACUGGAACAUUUGAAUAUUUAAGCCUAGGCAAUGGACACAUAUUCUAGGAGCAGAGGCCACGGGAAAGGAGUGUCUGGCCUUUUUGUUACCUGUGGAGGGUCUUGACUUUGAGUCAUCCAGGUUCUUGAUAUUUUGAACAAGGAAUUGGGCAAUAUUCACAAACAAAGCAACAAAACAAUGAAGCAACAAAAUCACAGAGCUAUUGAAAUGAAAGUACACUCCCGUACACUCCACAGAGUGGGAGCAGGCUCCAGCAAGCCACUCAAGAGCACUGGUUACAGAAUUUUCUGGGGUUUAAAUAUCCUUUAGAGGUUUCCCACUGGUUACUUAGUUACACCCUAUGUAAAUGAAGGAGUGGCCCACAGCCAGUCCGAUUAGUUGUGAUAGGUGACCAAUCAGAGGCUGAAGUUACAAAGUUACAAGUGAAGACUUGCCCCAUGACCAGCCUGAUUGGUUGCAGGAGGGAACCAAUCAAAGGUACUUUCCAUUUUUCAUCUGUGAGGCGGUGCAAAGUUAGUAGCCUCUUAUCCCUUUGUAAGUUGGGUGUGGAGAAGUGGGGUUUUCCUUUUGAUUCAGUUCUAGGAAGUAAGUGUGAAUCAGCCUUAGUUUCCCUGCCUCCAGACCCUACUCUCCCGCCUCAAUUUCAGCUUCUGUAAUGGGAAGUGGGGCCUCCCUUUCACCAAGACUCACAUUUUAAAGGUCUCUGCACAAAUGGAAGGGAAGGGUGUUGGAGCUUGACUUUCCGAACAAUAGCUGAUGUCCUGCACAGGUCCAGUUAUCUUCGUACCUGAUAUCCACAUAUGUUCUUCACUUAAAAACAUUUAUGCCUCAUAUGAUGCAACGUUCCUUAAACAAUCAAGACAUUUUCAAGCUCUCCCAGCAAAGGAAGGCAACCCUAAGCCUUGUCAGUUACUGCCUCCAGCUCAAAGUCUAAGAGCUCUGAGUGAUGUUAUUUUCCUCUCUAUUUCUGUUGGAUUCCACCUUAAUAUUCUGUAGCCAGUGGCCUGAAAUGUAAAAUUAACCAACAAAACUCAUGUUUUAAAUGGCAUAGUAGGGAGGAAGGAAAGACAAAGAAAAUUAGUCAAAAUAUACCAAUGUAUACAUGACGUGGUAAAGAAGGAAAUAUGAGUCCUGGGGUUGUAGCUGAUAGUUGUGAUUUCUCCCCACUACUGUACAAUUCAUCUUCCUUUCAUCUUCAGCCAACAUAGUAACCGGUGUGGGGUCUUUAGUUCAUGGGUGACACAAACCUUCCUUCCCAUCUGGGAGAUCGCAGCCCUGGUGGGUCUGGCCUGUAGGGGGCAGCUGUAAUUUUUCAUUAAUUUUCACCACUUGAUAAAGUAGUAAUAGGAUGCUGCCCAGGGAAUCAUCUACACUCAUCUCUUUUGGGUAGUGAGGCCCUAUUUCCUCCUGACAGUUAGAAUCAAUCAUCCCAUGAUUCUUAUUUUCCCCUCUUCUCUCAGAAGCAUGAGUGGCUUAAAAUGAUUAAGUUUAUUUUCCAAUUCUUCUGAAAACUCUUAGUACAUCCACUGGAAGAAGCAUUUCUCCUUGAGGUACUAAAAUGAUUAACAGAAUCACAGGGAAAGAAAGCAAGCUUUAUAGGUGGGUCAUUACUUUACCAGGUAGAGAAUCAAUUCCCAUUUCCAAUUCAUUAUUCCUGGACAUGCACAUCUCUGAGUAUGGAAGAAAGAGUACCGUGUUUCAGUUGACAGUUUAGAGUGUAUUCUGGAUUUUGUAAAAUCGGGUAUUGGCACUAUUAUUAAGUAUUCCAUUGUCCAUUGCACUAUUCUAUAAAGCUAACUGCUUCUAGUGAUGGGGAUGAGAUGAGAUCUGGGAACUCCAAGAGUAUUAACAUUGCCUUGUUUCUUUUAUUGCACUUAAACUUCCAGUUGGCCCUUCCUACUGUAACAGUCCUUCCUUCGUAGAUCAGGAAACUUAUGAAGAUAUUUGCCAAUUAAUCAGGAAAUCUAUUCCAAUUGUAUAGAAUAUGCACACUUAUGUAUACAUACAUAUUUAUAUGUACACAUAUGUACAAGAAUGAAUAACCAUGUUCAAAAACAUGAUUACCCUAUUUACCCUAAACUGGAUCCUAAUUAUCAUCUGGCUUUUUAAAUACCUAUUCCUCCUGGUAGGCCUUAGUGGAAUUUCAGAAAUUAGUCUAGAUUAGAGCCAUUGGAAAAUCUUCCCUUAGAAUAUUUAGGUAUUUCCUUUUUCCCAGGGCCCAGUUACCAUGGUAAAUCACUACCAAGGAGGCUUUUAAGGAAAAACCAGUAGAAAUAUAAAGAGUAUCCCCUUGUGACUUUCUAUCGGGCCUUUUCUGAGGGGGCUCAGACCUGCCUUUACUCAAGGGGCUCCAGCUGUUUGAUGUGGCUCAGGGCUGAGAACUGUAUGAGGCACAAUGACUCUCCAUUACAAAAGCUCAAGUCAGGACUCUUUGCAACACCUAGAGAUGGUUUUAUUUCUUAUUUGAAUUCAUUAAGAAAGCUGUAGUGAGCUUCCAAUCAAAGAACUCAUGAUCAAUUAUCCACCUCCAAACUGUAUGGAUCACACCCUUCCAGCUGACCAUGAAGGUAAGCACACCAUGUUACCUCUCCCAAAUAACUGCUAUUACUUGCUUGGGUCUCUGGGUGCUUCCCAUUGAGUUUAUGAGACCAUUGCCCCUGCAGCAUUUCCUAUUGGCAUCUCUGCCUACAGAAAAAACCCCUGGACCACAUCUCAAAGGUGCUCACCUCAACGAUAUAUUUGUGAAAGCGUUGGUGAAGACAGUUCCUUCUAAGACCUCUUGGAGGAUGUAGUUAGGGGAACCACACUUGAUUAGCCAACCAAGAACUAUUGUCUCUGGUAGACAUAGUCUAUGGUACACCGAGUUUCAUUUUGUUUUGUUUUUUUUGAGAUGGAGUCUCACUCUUGUUGCCCAGGCUGGAGUGCAAUGGCAUGAUCUCGGCUCACUGCAACCUCCACGUCCCGGGUUCAAGCAAUUCUCCUGCCUCAGCCUCCUGAGUAGCUGGGAUUAUAGGCAUGAGCCACCACACCCAGCUAAUCUUUUGUGUGUAUUUUUAGUAGAGAUAGGGUUUCUCCAUGUUGGUCAGGCUGGUCUCGAACUCCUGACCUCAGGUGAUCCACCCGCCUCAGCCUCCCAAAGUGCUGGAAUUACAGGUGUGAGCCACCACACCUGGCCACACUGAGUAUUUUCUGACAGAUAAAGUUUAUUUACACCUCUGUAGAACCUAGGUUUUAUUCAACUAGCCAAGUCAACAAUGAGAACUAUUUCUUGCUGUUUGGUCUAGCACAUUGAAUCCAGAAUCUCUGGGAUGUGAGCCUACAAUGAUAAAUGGGUUGAUUUAUAAUUGAUUGAUUGAUUGAUAAAUACAUUGAUCUAUAAUUAUGCUUUUCCCUUCUUGGUAGAGCUUCCUCAGAAUUCAUUUCCCUGUAGAUUUUGCUCAUAAGAAUUUAGCAAAGUCCUGUUACUCUUUUCUUAUGCCAGCUUUCUCCACCUAGGUUUGCCUUUGUAAUUUCUCAGGCACCAACUCCUCCAUCACACACACUCAAUCCAUGCAUUCCCAUUCCAGACCUAGAGCUGUCACUAGAGAGGGUGAGCACAAAGGAAACAACAGCUUCUUACAAGGCAACUCCCUCAGGCAAAGGCACCAUGCAACAAAUUCCCCUUACUUUCCCAAUUUUCACAAUCAUUAUAGAAAUAUUUUUUUUCAUAUUUUUAAUAGAACUUUCAGGUGUUUUGAAUUGGGAGGAUUACUGUGCACUGUGAAACCACUACAUCCCUGGAAACCUCUCCAGCAACAACUGAUGCUGGUGAUAACACUCCUAUUUAGAAAUCCUCCUUCUAUGUUUCUAUGUCUUCAUUCUUCUAAUUUUGCAUCUUUGUCCAGUUUCUGACUGUUCCUCACUAUUCCAAAAUGAAUUUUGUUCUCUUUCUUCUUCUCUCUUCUAUUUCCACAGUUUGAGCUACAAUCAAUCGAUUAUUUUCAUCAAUACAUCCCUAGGCUUUACCUCUCUUUACAUCUCAAAAUCGCCUCUGCAACAUCAUAUGUCCAAGACAGAACUCCCCUUCCUCCUGCAUAACUCACCAUAGCUCAGGUUAGGUUCUUGGAAUCAUAUUUGAGUUGUCCCCUCCAAAUCUCAUGUUGAAAUGUGAUCCCCUAUCAAAUAACUCCAUAAAGUAUCUAAAAUCUAUACCAUUUAUUGGAUUAUAUCACUUUCUGCUCAAUAAUUUCCAAAGGCUUCUCAUUACCCUAAAGAAAAAAAUUCUAUAGUUUGAAAAUUCGAGACUACUGGUGAUCUCCUCAACUUACUCCCAGCCCCAUAACUCGCCAAACAGAUCUCCAGGUCACCCCUGACCUCCAGUCACACUCCCCAACAUAAUCACAAGUUUCCACUCACUCUCAUAUCCACCCUUCAUGAACUCACUUCAGCAUCACUGUUCAUGCUAUUCCAUCUUCCAAUUCCUAACCCUCUACUCUCAGCUGAACUAACUAAAGAAUCCAAGAACUGAAAGAAGACAGAACAAGAGAAAGAGGAUACAACAAUUAGAUGCCAGUCGUGUUCUUGAGAGGAUAUUCUAGAUGGAGUUUUGCUCUUGUCGCCUAGGCUGGAACGAAGUGGCAUGAUCUCGGCUCCCUGCAAACUCCACCUCCCGGGUUCAAGAGAUUCUCCUGCCUCAGCCUCCUGAAUAGCUGGAAUUACAGGGAAAGAACAAGGAGUUUCUCUCUCCUCACGGCUGCCUGGGACACAUGCGGAGUCGAUUGUCACGUUAAAAAGCCGAGGGAUAAGCAAAAACACAUCCAAAGCAGGCAGCCAGAAGGAAGAGAAGUCUGGGGUCCAAGUCACAGGAUGCACAUUGGAGGCAACUGGGAAUGCCUCCUCUGCAGAGGGGACAAGUACGGAGCAAUACAGUCACUGAUUCAAACAUCUGGAGCACUCAAAGGCCUUUAGACGUUGCCUUGGGGAAAAGAUGAUACACAGAUUGAGAGUUCAUGCGCAGCUUCCGAGUUUUAUAAUGGAGCUUUGACUCUCACAGCAAACAUGAAGCAAAAGGUUGUUUUUGAGUCUCAAAAGCCUGACUUUUGAGUGUCAAAUAAAAUCAUGGUGUAUUUGUGGCAUUUCGUUUAUACCAGGAACAAUAAAUGUGAAAGGACGUGAAAACAGUCAACACAGUUCAUCCAAAGUCCCAGAAGUCAGGGAGAGAAGGAUGCUGUGGACACAUACGACUGAGUGUGCAUUCAGCAUUUGAGGAUGUAUACUGUAUGUUGUGAAUGGAGUUUCAAAUUCAGGGACUGCGACGCUACAGUUGAAAGAAAAAGAGAUGUCCAAGAAACAGAAUUAGAAAAACAAUUUUGGGGAUAAAUUCUUUCUCUAAUCUUUGAUAGCCUACCAUGUUCAUUUCCACUUAAAUAGAUAGAUAAAUAUCUCAUUUUUCCAUGGAUAGAACAGAGAUAGCUAAUUGUCUAUCUCAAUAUUUAUUUUCCACUUUUUCUCGAUAAAAAAAAUUAAUCAGUGCAAUCAUAUGCCCCACUGUUCUCCAACCGUAGGUAUGACCGUGGGUCCAAAUUCUUGCCAUUGAGAAAUAAGUAAAAGUGUAUCAGGUGCCUCUAGGAAAUCUUCGUAAAAGUUUCCAUCCUGGAACAUGAACAUGAUCAUCUGGGGCUUCAGCUGCCAUCUCAGAACAUGAGGACAAGUUCAUGCUCCUGGGCUUGUGCAGUGAAGAGUGGGAAGGGGCCUGGUUACCAACAAUUUUGCCAAGUUGCCAGACUAGCCGCAGAAUUGCUUUUACCUGAGGAAAACACAAUUCUGUCAUGUUUAAUCUACCGUUAUUCUUUAUUAUGGGUUUUUCUGUUAUAUGCAGCCAAACCUAACCCUACCAAAUACGGUGUGGUACCUGCUGAUUUGGAAUAGCUGAGAAUUAAGUAUUCUCAAGCUACAGUAGGGGACCAAGACACAAAACAGAAGACUGUGAAGCUAAAAAGAAACGGAGAAGUCACUUGGCCAAGCUGCUCUAUUUUGUAAACUUGAUCAAAUCUCUCUGGAUUAAGGCUGGUCAUCCAUAAAAUAAUGUCCACCUCUCAGCUUCCGAGAUGGUUAUGAUCUGGUCUCUUCCGCUCCAUCCUUAUUUCACAAUAUAGAAAUUAUCCUCAGGAACUGUCAACUCAUGUUAGUAUCUUGAUAAAACAUGCACAUCAUUUCCCCAUGUGUUAAUUAUGUGCCAGUCCCUCUGUUAAAAAUAUGCUUUCUCUGCUUAACCAUUUUGCUCAAAAAUUCCCUUUUUGAUGAAAGCUGUCUACCUCCAAACUCCCAGACAGGAUGAUCACUUUCUCUUCAUGCUGUCCUUAAGAUUUAUGUAUUUUUAUAUUAUUGGACUCAAACAUGUAAAUAAAGUCAGCAUCUAAUGUAAUAUUAUUUAUUUCUAUAUUCCUAGUACCCAGAACAGAAAUAUACAAUAAGUGCUGAACAACUGUUUAUUGAAUUGAAUCACAUUUCAUAUUAGGAAAUUAAGGACUCUGAAAAGGUUACCACACUGGGUUUUAAUGAGCAAAGAGAGCCAAGAUUUAUAUCAAAUGUUCAAACAAAAGAGGAGAAAAUGAAGCAAAAAUAUUAAUUUUAAUGUUAGCCCCACUAACACUUCCCAGUUUUUCAUCUUCUUAAUUCAUUGGGCUUAAACAUGAAGCCUAUGGUCAGCCAGAGAUGCUGAUUGCCUUGGGAGAGCAUUGCUCCCAUCUCCAUGAGCCCACACCCUGCACUGAGCUCUGCUGACUUGUGUUUCCUUGAGGUUCCAAGGGCAGGCGGCUUAAAUGUCAUCCCCAGAAGAAUCUGCAGUGAGUCAGAACCAAACAUUCCAUAUGUCAGCUUUGAGUCCAUUCUGUAGGAAGAGCUGAAAAUGUAUCCCCUAUUCUAUUUUCUGUCCAAAAUUAUGUCCAGGCAUACUGUCUAAUGUAGCAUGUCAGAGAUUCUGCAAUGAGAUUGGAUGCUAUCUUGAAGAUACUCCAAUAACCAAACAUCUAUAAAGAGAUGCCUCUUAUUUGAAGACAAUUUCCUUGCUAUUAUUAAAUUCCAAGGAAUAAAUUUAUAUCUAAAGAUUAGAUUGCUUUACAACUUUAAGUUCAAAGACAUGAAAAUCUAAAAGAACUAAAGUUUGAAAUAAAAUUAUCUUGCCCCACGUAUUAAAAUUCAAAGUACAAAGUCCACUUACAAAACAAAUACCCUUCCCCUUCAUAUCUUUUCCGCAGGCUUAGUUGGCAGGAUUUGCUGUCUGGGUAGAGUUGAGGUUCCUCCAGUAACCACCUGUCUCUCUCUGGAAUGGGUCUGGAGCUUCCAAAUCCUCUCAAGUCAUAGUAAUUCAAUGCCCAGUCUCUCAGAGGCCUUACUUUUAAAGAAUCAAAACAGCUAACAGGACUCACAAAAUUACCACACCCGUUUGUCACACGCACCCAAUUUAGAAAGCCAAUCUCCUGCGCAUAGGUCAAUUAUUCCAGGCAAAAUUGCAUUUCCAGAACCAGAGCUACCAGGACCCCAGUAAUCCUGGUAUCUGAGAGAAAAGGAAAAACUUUCUGGAGUCAAUCUCAACAGACGUCUCUCAUUCAAGACCAAUUGUC